GGCUGGUUUGAUGGUAGUGGGAUAUCAGAACUUAUUAACAUUAGUGUCAUUAAAGUUGGUAUACAACCUCCCACUGCUAAAUUUGACUGGCUUGAA
ensembl:Y_RNA Y_RNA Y RNA